rnacentral:rRNA from 1 species
GAGCACUGGUUUAGUAUAUUAUUUACAUUAAUUUGAGCACCGAAGAUUUAACGGAUCUAAACAAUAUACCGACACCUUGUCCAUAAAAAUAUAAUAUUUAAUGGGGUAGCAGAACGUUGGGUAAACAUUUAUUGUUUUUAAUAAUAAAUAUAUGAUAACCCAAGUGAUAAUGCUGACAUGAGUAACGAAAAAGGGGAUAUACCCUCGCCUAAAGCUUAUGGUAUUUUAAAAUAAGUAACGGCCUCUAAGUUUACCAACCUAAAGGAUUAAACGAUGAGAAAAUCUUUUAGUUCAUUAGUAACAACCUUCCUUCUUAUAAGAAAAGUUGAGGGAGGUUCUGGAAAAACCGUGACCUAUCUUUAAGAUAAAAACCGUACCUAAAUACCACCGACGGUAAGCUAGUAGAGAAUACGAAGGCGUUUGAGUGAACAAUCCUUAAGGAACUCGGCAAACUAACUACCGUAACUUCGGAA